AGGCCCUUCGGGGUACUCGAGCGGCGAACGGGUGAGUAACACGUGAGCAACCUGCCCUUAGCUCUGGGAUAGCUCCGGGAAACCGGAAUUAAUACCGAUUAUUACGUCAAUCGACAUCGGCUGACGUGGAAAGAUUUAUCGGCUGAGGAUGGACUCGCGGCCUAUCAGCUAGUUGGUGGGGUAACGGCCUACCAAGGCGACGACGGGUAGCCGGCCUGAGAGGGCGACCGGCCACACUGGGACUGAGACACGGCCCAGACUCCUACGGGAGGCAGCAGUGGGGAAUCUUGCGCAAUGGGCGAAAGCCUGACGCAGCGACGCCGCGUGGGGGAUGAAGGCCUUCGGGUUGUAAACCCCUUUCAGCAGGGACGAAGCGAAAGUGACGGUACCUGCAGAAGAAGCGCCGGCUAACUACGUGCCAGCAGCCGCGGUAACACGUAGGGCGCAAGCGUUGUCCGGAAUUAUUGGGCGUAAAGAGCUCGUAGGCGGACUGUCACGUCUGCUGUGAAAAGCUGGGGCUUAACCCUGGCCUUGCAGUGGAUACGGGCAGACUAGAGGUAGGUAGGGGAGAAUGGAAUUCCCGGUGUAGCGGUGAAAUGCGCAGAUAUCGGGAGGAACACCGGUGGCGAAGGCGGUUCUCUGGGCCUUACCUGACGCUGAGGAGCGAAAGCGUGGGGAGCGAACAGGAUUAGAUACCCUGGUAGUCCACGCUGU
rnacentral:rRNA from 1 species